CCAGGUCUCCAGCUGGGGUGGACGAGCCCACCAGCCACCGAAGGCCAGGACGCCAGGUCCGGCGGACGUGCGGAGAGGGACAUGACAUGGUCCGGAGUGACGGCGAGGACAGAGGAGGCGCGUCCGGCCUUCCUGGACAUCUUCAGCUGGCGGAGCAGGCUGCGGCAAGAGGCGGGUCUCUUCCUUGACUUCCCCGACGGGGUCGGCACACUACUGCCGGUCUUUGGAUUCCCAGAACCCACACAAUGCAAGAAAUGGUGCUACCCAGCUCACGCCUGGGCCUUUGAAUCCGGAAACGUCUGCAAGUACCUCUCACUGAUAACAGGAAUACUGCACUUUAAACCACUGCACACCCUCACUCAGGAAUCGGCCCCAGAAGGUGAAGCUGAAGGAACGAGACCUCAUCAACCCAACACCAAAGACGCCAUCGGAACAGCGGCGCCCGCAGCACCCACCCCCCGCCAGCGACUCCAUCUUCGUGGCCACCCCCUGCCGUGGACAGUUGACCACCAGCCACUACGUCAUCCCAGCGCUGAGCUCCUCCAGCGGGAUGACCCCGUCCCACCACCUCCCUCUUCUUUUUCUUCAUCCUCCUAUCUCUUUGCUUCGACCUUUCCUGUCUUUCUUCCUGAGAGACUCGAAGCCUCCCAGCUCCGUCCCCCGCCCCUUCUGAAUUCAUUUGCACUAAGUCGUUUGCACUGGUUGGAGCUGUGUAGACGGCCUUGAGUCUCCGUGUGAGUGUGUGUGUGAGUGAGAGCCACCUUGGCAAGUGCCCGCCCGGGGCCCAGGCGCCCUCCAACUGGGCCGGGGGACCGGGUGCGGGUCGUGUGCGUGAGGCCUCGCCCACCCUCACCGAGUCUGGAGCAUUUCAUUACGCCCUAUCUCGCUCCGUGCCCCUCCCUACCAGGGCUUCAGCAGGAGCCCUGGACUCAUUAUCAAUAAACUCUGUUACAUCAACUUGUCUCGGGGUCUUUGGAAUCUGGG
rnacentral:lncRNA from 1 species